GUCGUGAGACAGGUUAGUUUUAUCCUACUGUGAGUGGUCGUCCCGAUGGUAGGAUCGUUUAGUACGUCAGGAACGACGAUUCAUUGCCUAUCGCAAUGGAGUCGGUCGAGAGACCGAUGCUCCGAAGCGACGCAAUUCGGAUAAGGACUGAUGGCCUCUAAAGUUCGAAGCCGUGCCAAGUGAGCGGACGACAGUGGCGCGGGUAGACUGCUGCGACGGAGUUUUCGUUUUGCCAGCCUCGCCGCCGUGCGAAAAAGGCCUCCUUCUGGAGCAGCCUAGGGCAACAGGUGCCGCGUGUACCGACGGUGCUCCGUCGAAAGAUCACCAGUAUACGACUGGGGAGUCUCGGUACUGUAAGGCGUCGAGCUCUAGGGCGAGCGUCUGAGGUUUAGCCGGAGACUAUAGAUCUCGUGAAUACUCAACGUUAUUUUGGCGUGUACAAGUGUGUGCGUGCGCGUUGAAGUGUGCGAGCGCUCGAGCUUUUCGAAGUUCAUAGUCGCCGCCGCCCAAACACCCCACCCACCACUCUACACCCCUAACCAACGAUUAUAGAUAGAGAUAACGUGUAGCAUCGAGGACAAGUUUCUCGGCGCCGCGUUAUCUCGCCCCCGUUUGACUUAAAAAUUACCCAUUCGGCCCGGGAAUUUACCCAUUCGGGCGAAAUUUUUUUAAUACCAUCUUUUUUUUGCUAUUUUUCUCAAUUUUUGCCAACUUUCGCCUUACUGAUGAUCGUACGGCUAAGGCUUGUGGUUAUAAUAUUCCGCCCUAACUUCAGGGGGUGGUAGUCUAUGAGAUAGUUGUUGGCCUAGGCUUGAUUGGCUUUAUUGCCCUGAGCUAAUUUCAGCCGGUGUUUUCCUUAACUUCAGGGGGUGGUGGUAGCCUUUGAGAUAGUUGUUGGCCUAGGCUUGAUUGGCUUUAUUGCCCUGAGCUAAUUUCAGCCGGUGUUUCUCCUAACUUCAGGGGGUGGUGGUAGCCUUUGAGAUAGUUGUUGGCCUAGGCGUAUGGUUUGCUUGCCUUCGCCUAUGUUUGAGGGCGGCUCGGCGCUAGGUAUCGGUAGCUUGCCCUAACUUCGGGCGCGUCGAGCCUCACCUCGGCGUAUGGUUCGCUUACGGUCGCCUAUGUUUGAGGGCGGCUCGCCUCUCAUAUGGUCGUGGGGCUCGGCGGUCGGCUUACCUUUCGGAUUGUCGGUAGCGACAGACUAUGCACAUACUCUUCGACGCACCCCCGACUAGACCGUUGGCGAUGCUUGAUCGGUGCGAUCGCGAACAAAAGAUUUGGCUCGCUGUCUUACUUUGACGCGCUCGCUCUAUUGUUAUGGUUUACUUUGACGAGGCUCACUGUCACGCGGCGACGUGAAGUAGUUCGUCAGCAGAUAUUUUCUCGUUUUGACACCCAAUUAGGCAAAUUUCGGGUUUGAAACCAUGUUGACGAUCAUUUUCGAGCAAUUCUGCACCCGGACACACCCGAUUUUGUCGAAACUCGCAACUUCUCUAAUUUUCGUCUACAAAUUUUUCGAAUUCUAUUGUCCACAGUAAAACACUAUGGCGAUCUAGUCACCACUUUCUCGAUCGUUCGACUGCUAAUCGUUACUUGAAGAAAGAAAAAAAAAUCGACCGACCGAUAUACAUCCGGCAAGGAUUCUUCGUGCUAAAUUGGUUCGCACACAAACCACAAUGGUCAAUCGUCAUAGGAUUUUUCUUCAAUCUGGUGUUAUUUCGGGCCCUAAUUUUCGAGAAAAAAUUUUUUUUUCGCACACCUCCGGAUCGACUCGCAAUCGCAGCGCAAAGCCACAUUCGGAAAUUUCACGCUAAAAAAUGUAGACAAAUGACAAAAAAGAAAAUUCGCUCGACAAUUUCCAUACAAAACACUCGAAACGUUACUAAUUUCGCGUUUAAACGUUAUUCCGAUAAUAUAAAAAAAUUGCAUUUUAUGCACCCAACGCUGCUAGGUUUUCGUCCUCCCACGGUGUUACUAUCAUCUUGCCAAAUUUCUCUCCAACUCCACCGCAUUCGUGAUAACUCAUCGGAUCUGAGCUACUUGAAGGCUCGACGACACGAUUGGCGACGAGCGCGAUUGAUCGACUUCGCCGAAAAUUACCCGUUCGGUCGACCUAUUCGUGGUCGAGCGUACACUUUUUUCGUUUACCCAUUCGUUGGUUCAGUAUAAACCUCAUGAGGAGAGGUAAAUCACCGAAGACGCGACACGACCGAGAGUCGCCGCAGCCGCGGGACUUAGCACGACUACAAGCACGACCGCCAGAAACAUCAGCAUCAAUCUUCUACCACUACUUCUAGCUACUCGAACAACCGAAGCGUAGGUCAGACGCCCAGAGAUUCCAGAUGUAAUGUGGAUCCGGACGCCCUAGGUCGCAGCCGAAGUUGCGGGCAGUGGCCAGAUCAAUGGUAGGCGAUUGGUGCGGAUGCGAAGGCGGCCAGCCAGGUACAACUGCUAGGCUCCGAGACUGCGAGACCCGACGAAGCCAAAGACGCGACUCCAAUCUUCUCCACACUUUCUCCCGUGUGCACCUCGUGCCACUCCAGUGGUCGAACGGGGCAAUCACGCGCGGUCGGCUUCUGUUCACCGCGGAAUCCGGCUGCACAGUUUUCUAUAGUCACGUUCGAGUAAGUGCAUGCACGACCCGAACAGCGACGAAUCCAAUGCUCCUCUAAGGGGCUAUCGAAGUCGUGGGUUGGGCCCAGAGCGAUUCUUCGAACUCCUCCCGUAUUUCACCGGCUGCCGCGAACACGUUCGAUCGUGUGCGCCUCUAUUUCUAGUCGGUGGAUUCGGGCAGGCUGCUCACAAGAUCUCUGGCGCACCCACCGACUUUCACAAGCGGCACGCGAUCAACAGAGUAUGUUGUGCCAUAGCUGGCUGGCUGGCUGCUCGUGUAGCGCUUACGGCAUUACGCGGCAGCAACAGCCAUGCAUGGUUCACGAAUCGAACAGAGUCCUAUGUGGAAAGGCUACGGUCGUAGUGGCGACCGAACGCGGAAAAGCGUGUGAUCAAGGCUCGAAGGUACGAAUCGCGACCAGCUGUAGGCCAACCGAUGCUCGUGCGCUCAACGCUGCACGGGUAUCCGGGCGACCAAGCUGGCGCGUUUCGUCGCAACGAGGACGCACGUCGGUGAUAGACCGCGCGACUCCCGUCGUCGGCCUUUUAUCGGUGUCUCCGAACUAGACUCUCGCGCAGCACGGACCUCACGCAGUGUCCGCGGCGGCGAGUGCAAGGGUAGUAGGCUAGUGGCACGUUGUCCGGGCGUCUAUCCUCGCGGGUAGAUUCUCGGCGUCGCAGCGCUAGCGUGCACAUCCCGCGGCGUGAACAGCGGCUUCCGGUCUCGCUGCCGGAAGUGUCAGCAACUCA
rnacentral:misc_RNA from 1 species